rnacentral:pre_miRNA from 1 species
UCUUAUGGAUGAGCAAAAAAGUGGUUUCUUGAGAUGGAAUCUACUCCUGGUGAAGAUGGUAUGAA